rnacentral:rRNA from 1 species
UACGAACGGUCCAAACGUUAUUCGGAAUCACUGGGCUUAAAGCGUCCGUAGGCGGCUCGGAAAGUCGGGUGUGAAAUCCCACGGCUCAACCGUGGAAUUGCGCUCUAAACUACUGUGCUCGAGGGAGGUAGAGGUGAGCGGAACUUAGGGUGGAGCGGUGAAAUGCGUUGAUAUCCUAAGGAACACCGGUGGCGAGAGCGGCUCACUGGACCUCUUCUGACGCUGAGGCACGAAAGCUAGGGUAGCGAACGGG